rnacentral:lncRNA from 1 species
CUGGGGAUUUCAACAGUUGCGUGGUCCCAGAAUGACAGAGUUGGCAAACCAGGUUUGACCCCUGAGACUACACACCUAACGGCUUGGCUAGAACCGUUUUAAAGGCUCAACCACUCAGUGAGGAAACUCAAUAAUUCUGACCCUAACAGAGCAAGAGGCCUGACCUUCACACCUAUGUAACCCAAGGUCACAGAAAUGCUGAGGGGCCAUGUGACUCCAGUGAAGCAGGAGUAUCCAUCCAGCCACAGAGAUGGGACCUGUCCAAAUGGGACCUGUCUGUUCCAAAGGUUAUUCUGCUUGAAAAUCAGGCCAGGCAUGGUGGCUCACAACUGUAAUCCCA